rnacentral:miRNA from 1 species
UUUUAAUGGACUGUAAGUGCCU